UAAUCUCGGCCACUCUGCUAAUUUUCCUCACAUUUAGGGUUCACAUACUUAUACAUAUAUGUUCUUCACCAAAAAGCUUAAAUCCCUCAUCCACGACUCUUUCUGUAAAAUUCAAAAUAUCUAAAUCCAUUUAACACUUCUGCCGUCAUGCUCCGCCAUUUGUAUUGCCUCAUUAUUGAUAUAUUGUAGUCACUCGUAUAUUUCUUCGUCUAUCUCUCUAUUUCUAAACACAUUUCAUCGCAAGUGAUGGCGAUUAGAUCUCGAGUUCAAACCUUCUCUCACCAUAGAUAUCUCUCGAAACAGGGAUGGAGGUGAGUCAAAGGAAGGAAAAGGGGUUUCAUCAUUUCGACCUGUUGUUGCUGGAAAUCAUCCCAACUAUGUUCCAGAAUAAAAAACUGAUUCAUCUUUUGGUGUUGGGAUGAAGGAUUUCGUGUUAAUGGGAAUUUUGGUUGUUGGCUAUUGACUAUUGAGUACAGAUACAGUCAAGAAACUUAUUUACUCGCUUCUUUUUCAUUUGUCUUUAUCCUUUUUUUUACCCCUUUAAGUUUUUCCCCAAUGUAAAUCUAAAACUCUCCAAUUAAGGUUCAUCGACUACCAGUUUUUUUUAUAAGGUAUCAUCAAAAUUUUCUUCCUUAGUAUCCUAUUUCAUAAACCUCUAUCGAUAUAUGUUCAUAUGGACAUGUUCAGUUAAGCAUAUAAGAAUUUUUAUUCAAACUGCAGUAUCAUUGAUUUUGUUAACUUCCGUCAAAUUGUAAUAUUGAUGUUUUUGGGAUUGCUUCAUCCGUAUUGUUGAUCUAAUACAUAUCACAUACAUAUACAUGCAUGCAUCCCAUAGUUCUUCUUACUUAAUAGAUUUUACCUUUUUCCUGAAGCAGACACAACCUUUAAGUACUUAAAAUGUCCCAUUCUUGACUACCCAUUCGUGUCUCAUUUUAAGACUGAUCAGGUAUAAAAUGAGCAUAUCUUGAGAAUUUUCUUAUGGAUAGAGAAAUCAUUUGAUCUAUCUCUGAUGAGUGUAAUGCAUUUUUUUUAAUUAAUUCUAUAUGUGUUUAACUUCAUAAACGUGGGAUGUAUGAAACAAUGACCAAAAGUUGAUUUGAAUUUUUGCAAAUCUUAUAUAUGUUUUCUGAUUCUUCUCUAUUUUUAGACAAAGAUGAAAUUUUUUUUUUUUUGGUUUUGCAGCCGGUGAGUGAUGUUUGUACCUUAGUGAUAUAAUAUUAAAAAAAGAAAUUAAAAUUGGAGUUCCAUGUAGGAGUGUUACAGGUAAUAGUGGUGAGAGGUAGUCUUCAUUAAAUCUAUUAUGACAUCAUGGUUCAUAUGAUAGUCUUGAAUGAUGAUGCAUAAUAUGUGAAUCAUAAUAUCAACUUCUUAAAUUAGUUUUAAAAUUUUAGUUAAGAAUUAGAGUUUUUAGCCCUUUUUUGGGAUGACAUGUAUUUCUUCUUUUCUUUGCAGUUUUGAUUUGUCUAAAAUACAAUCUUAUUGAAUGUGUAGUUAUGCAUGUUUUUUGUUCAAUUUCUAACACAUCUAAUUAUUUGCUUUGUGAUAUUUUAUGUGUUUUUAUUUCAUGUUUGCGAUUUGGGUUUUUUUCUUGAAAAUGGCAAUAAUAGUGAUAUAUUCCGAUACUUAUGGAGAGGAUAUGGUGGAAUGCAAUUUCAUGUGACUUUGUGAUUAAAAGGAAGUACUAAUAUUUUUAAUCUUCUUAGGCUAAAAAAGGAGUUGUUGUAGCAAUAACUCAAUUGCUACAAACAAGGCUGCUAAAUGGAAGGCUAAGGGGGGUUAGAGGUGUGCUUCACUAAACUCAUUUAAAGGGGAGGGGGAUUCUGAUAAUUACCCUUGGUAGUCAAUGUUUUGUAGUCAUUUUUAACUUGCAAAUGUUGGUUGGUUAGCCUCUAUUAUAAUUACAAUAUGUUAAGUAAGUUGUGUAAUAUGUUUAUCUCUCAAAAGAUGUAAAUAUUUUCUAUACUUGAUAUUUUUUUACCUUCAUAUGAUGUAAUAAGAAGUUGGUUAGUGUUUGUUGUAA